ensembl:lncRNA
AGCAUGUCUUCGGACUGCCACUAACAGUGUUUAAAUAUGGAGUUUCUGCGCAGCUCCAUUGAGAAUUCUGUGUAACUCAUCUGAUCUCCCUUCUUCCCUAUGUGACCAGUGCCCCGGGGAAUGGAGGCAGAAGGGAGUGUGCAGUGGGAGAGAGGACAGAGGAGCCUGGGAAGAUCUCCCCCAAAUAAUGAGCGGUGAGAUAGAAGUGACUUUGGAUCUUGGGGGAUUCGACAGACACGUAGAUUUGGAGUGUGUGUGUGUGUGUGUGUGUGAGUGUGUGUGUUAUUGUUUGUGUAUGUGUGUGUGUUUUGCAGUCUGAGUUAAAUGGUGUGUCAAUUCCACUUUGUGAGUCAGUCAGUCCAUUCCAUUAGACACACAAACACACACAUACACACACGUGCACACACGUGCACACACCCACACACACGCGCGUACGCACACGCACACACACACACUCUCUCUACUCCAGUACAGUUGUGGCCUCUGUGGAUGCAUAAUCAUUGCCAGGAGUCACAGGCAAUAUAGUGAGAAUUGGAUCUUUAGUGCCUGUUAAAAUAUUACUGAGCUGAUUAAUAUUGAAAUAUGCACGUCUCUAAGCCGUCUAUCCCUCAUUUUCUUUCCCACUUUCCAUCUAUUUCUCUCCCUGUCCGCACCGUUCUCCUUCAUCUCUCAAUGUCUCCUUCGCUAUUUCGGCUACUUAGUCGCAUUUCGCUUGAAUUAGCAAGACGGCUUGAUGUGAAUUAUUUGAAGGAAGAGUUUGAAAGUGUUUGCACACGUUUGAUGUUCUCUUACAUAUUUUCGAAGCCCGUGGUCCCUGUUUUGAAUUGUUAUGCUGACCCGUCUCAUAUAUUUUGAAUGGAAAGACAUAAAUAUAGCGGCAGGUCACAAGUUAGCCUAACCGGAACACCUAGUCGGUGAUGUGUGACCUGAACAGUCCAUUAGUCACGGUACGCUCUUAUUCAUGCCACGCAUAGCUUUAUGUCUCUAACUGAUUUUUACACUACUAAUUAAUGUUUCACGGUGCUGUUUAUAAAAGCCAGAGGCGCCUAAGGAGGUAAAGGGCAUGGGGUAGCAUGGAUCAUUACAGAGUUAUGGUAUUUAAAUUAGCCCCCCCCCCACCCUAUUUUCAUCAUCACCUAUCCUUAUGCAUAUAUGGAUGUGUGUGUGUGUGAGAGAGAGAGAGAGAGUGAGAGAGAGAGACUCAAGACUGCUGCAGGCCUGUGAUAUCAACAGAUACAGCAGAGAAAUUCUCCCACCAAGAUGGUCUCAAAGUUGUGAAUUCAGUGAAGGCCAGAGUGCAGGGUGUGUUUUUGCGGUCGUUUCUUGCACCUCCGUUCAUACGACAUAUAACUCAGUUGCUCUUGCUUGAUAAAAAUUCAUAAAGAUUUUGCGUCACUUUGCUCUCGCGUUGAUAUUUCACAGAUGCACGCAUACAUGUCCAUUGAAACCAAGGGAAUCUGUGCUAAAUCAGUCAUGUCUUUUGUACACGAAUCCAAUAAUGCUAAUUUCGCCCGCCGCGCUAUUUGUGAUUUGCGAUUGCUUUCUGUGGCAUAUAGCAUGAAAUGUUCUUGGCUUGUUAAACCCUAAUUGGCUGUAAUCGUUACUAGACUCUUCAAAUCCAUACUUGGCUCAUAGAUCUAAUGACAAGACUGGACUUGUGUGUAUUGUGUAUCUAUCUGCCUACAG